GUGUCAGCAGCCGCGGUAAUACAGAGGCCUCGAGCGUUAGGCGGAAUCACUGGGCUUAAAGCGUGUGUAGGUGGAUGCCUAAGUACCUUGUGAAAUCCCACGGCUUAACUGUGGAACUGCUUGGUAUACUGGGUGUCUUGAGCCACUCAGGGGCUACUGGAACAAACGGUGGAGCGGUGAAAUGCGUAGAUAUCGUUUGGAACGCCAAUGGUGAAAACAAGUAGCUGGGGGUGUGCUGACACUGAGACACGAAAGCCAGGGGAGCAAACGGGAUUAGAUACCCCUGUAGUCC
rnacentral:rRNA from 1 species